AAAAGCCAGUUCUAUUGUGAUUUUGACAUUGGGAUUUAGUCAUUUGCUUGAGACUAAGUCAUUUUUAUUAUUAUUGUGAUAUUGGCUCUGCUUUUUCCUCUUUCUUUUUCAUUUCAGGUGUAUGAACUUGAGAAGUAGAGGGACUACAAACCUCACUCCUCUGGUAUCAGACAUCCGGGCUUUGGAAAGAGAGAAUACAAGAAGAAGGAGAGAAGAGGAGCAACAGGCUCAUUUCAACAGAUUGGGUUUUGAUAUGGCUCACCAUCAGAACCCGAAUCAAGAUAGAGAGAUCCCCUUGGAAGCUGCCCAAGAGGGAAAUGGUCAAGGAGCUGCCAACCUUCGACCACAACACCCACAGCGCCAAGCUCGCGCUAUUGGAACCUAUGAUCGCCCUCACAUUCAUGGUCAUAUGUUGGGAAUCAGAGCACCUGCUGUAGAGAACAACAACUUUGAGAUCAAGUCAGGACUGCUCAACACCAUUGAGAACAACAAGUAUCAUGGUCUUGCUACUGAAGAUCCUUUUGACCACUUGGACAAGUUUGAUAGCUACUGUGGUUUGUCCAAGACCAAUGGAGUGUCAGAAGAUGCUUUGAAGCUCAGGCUCUUUCCUUUCUCUCUGGGAGACAAGGCAAGACAGUGGGAGAAGUCUCUCCCAAGCGACUCUAUCACUACUUGGGAUGAGUGCAAGGAAGCCUUUCUAGACAAGUUCUUCUCCAUCUCCAGGACAGCUAAGAUCAGGAAUGAGAUCUCUGGGUUUCAGCAGAGGAACUUAGAAAGUUUCAGUGAAGCAUGGGAGAGGUUCAAAGGCUACCAAGCUCAUUGCCCACACCAUGACUUCUCCAAAGAAAGCUUGUUGAGUACCUUCUACAGGGGAGCUAUACCACAGUGUAGAAACAGACUUGAUACAGCCAGCAAUGGAUUCUUCUUGGGCAGAAACGAGGUGGAUGCAGAGGAGCUGAUAGAGAACAUGGCCAAGAGUGACUCAGUAUACAGUGAGGAUCAUGAUAGAGUCAACAGAAGUGAUGAUCAGCAGACCAAGAAAGAGCUCAAGUCUUUGGAAGAGAAGUUGGACCUACUUCUUGCCAACAAAGCUAAGCUGGAUCAGAUGAAAUCAGUUGGGGAACAGCAACAAAAGCAGGUUGCUGAGAUCAAGAAGAUUGAUGGUUUGGAAGGACAUGAAGAGGUGUGCUUUAUCAACAACAAUGGAACUUGGUAUAGGAAAGAGCCCAACUUUCAAUACCAAAACAACUACCAGCAAAAGCCCCUCUACAACAACCAACAAGGUGGUUAUCAAAGCAACCAGCCUACUCAAGCUAGAGGAAGCUCUUCUCAAGCUCAAGUUCCAAAUUCAACCACGGAAUCUAUGUUCAAACAAAUCCUAGAAGCUCAAGGAAAAUUUGCUAAGGACAUUGGAGAUGAGUUCAAGGCUGUUCAUGCCAAGAUUGAUGGAACUUAUUCUGACCUCAACAACAAGUACAUGCAACUUGCCUCUCACGUCAAAGCUUUAGAGAGCCAGGUUGCUUCUUUGCCUUCAUCCUCCAAGCAGCCUAUGGGAACUCUACCAGGGAAAGCAGAGGCAAACCCAAGAGAACAUUGCAAUGUUCUUCUCUCUAGUGACACUUCUCAGGUCGCCAACUACAAGAGAGAGGUAGAUGAGAUUGAAAGAUUGGUGUUUGGAACUGAAAUUGAACAGGUUGAGCAUGUGGUUGUUGCAACAGCUGAGUCCAAGAUUGUGCAAGAAGCUGACAGGAUAGUUGCAGCAAAGGUUGAGCAGAGCAGAGAGCACAAGGCUGAGAAACCAGUUGAGAGAAGAUCUGAUAAGAGGCUGAAUGUGGUGAAGCAGGAAGACACUGAGGUUGAGCUAUCCCCCUAUGACAAACUCCCUUUUCCAGAGAGAUUCCUCACCAAAGCUCAAAAGAAGGUGGUCUCCAAAUUCAGAAAAGACUUGAGUGAUAUUGGAGUAAGGCUUCCAGAGAUUCACAACAUGCAAGCUGCUCAUGUCCAGAUGAUGCUCAUCAAAGACAUUCUAGACCACCAAGCUGAAGUAGCAGAGCUCCUGGACAUCUCUACACUCAAGCUUGAUCCACCAAUCCCACCCAAGUCCCUCCCUAAACUAGGACACCAAGGGAUGUUCACUUUGCCUUGUUCCCUUGGAAAGCUUAACUUUGAUGAUGCUCUAGUGGAUUCUGGUGCAAGUGUGAAUGUGAUCUCACUUGAGGUGAUGAAGAGUCUAGGGAUUGAGCACAUGCUACAAGACACAUCUAUGCUCCAAUUUGGGGAUUCCUCUUCCACAACCCCAAUUGGUAUCAUCAAGGAUUUCCCUUUGCAGCUUGGAGCAUGCACCAUCCCUAUAGACCUCACUGUUUUGGAGAUGGCAACUGGGAAGAUAGUCCCAUUGAUCCUUGGCACUCCAUUCCUCACAACAGUGGGAGCUUGCAUAGACUUUGCCAACAACAAAGUCACACUCCUAAAUGUGAACAAAGCUGUCUCCUACCCUCUUCAAUCACCUAAGUUGAAACCUGAGUAUUGUGGCACAAUAACUUGUGGAGCAUCCUCCAUUGAGAAGACAAAGACUGAGCUGAGUGGUAUUGAGAAAGAGGUUCUUGGUGAAGAGUCCCCUAAGGAGAAGUGUGAUGAGCACUUGGAAAGUGCUCAAAAGGAGGAGGUGAGUGAAGCCACAAAGGCCUCCCAUGGCAAGAAGAAGAUUGUGAAGGAAUCUCACCCUCCACCUCUUGAGAAGACUCCUCACACCCUCACUCUUCAUCCAAUGAAGCUCAAGGAUGGAGCUAUUGAGUAUAAGAUCAAGUGCAAGGGAAGGUCUAAGUCAUUCUCAAGUGCAAGGGCCAUCAUCACUCCACAGUUCCAAGAUGAUCCACUCAAGCUUCAAGAGCUUCUCUCUCAAGUCCUCACCAUCACUCUGGAAGGUGGGAAGAAUCCUCCUUCUCACUAGUACAAGAGAAAAGGUAGUCAAGCUAGUGACUUAAAACAAGCUCACUUGGGAGGAAUUCCCAUGUUUAUCCAUUUUAUAUAUUCUUUCUCUUUAUUUAUUUUAAGAUGUUUAAUAAGUGUGGUUGAGGUUUCCAGGUUGAGUAUAGCACUAGAGGAAAGAAGAAAGGCGGUGAAGCACACAAGCCUUAUGGUAGACAUCCCGUAGCAGUCUCCUCUAGUCGCUAUGAAUCAUGCCAGCUCCUUGCAGAAGCCCUAGACACCCACUGCCAUACUCCAAUCUCCACUUGAGGUUUUAAUGGAGAACAAUGAACAGAAUUACAGACUUAUCAAACUCCUUUAGCUGUGACUGCCUUAUUUCGAACCACUUAGUAAAUGUCCAUCAUGCAAUUAGGAGAUUCAUAUAUUAAGAUGUGAUAAAGUUGUAAUGUUUUUCAAAAGCCAAAGUAAAUACAAUGUUCAACUCUCUUUUCUUUUUCUUCUCCAUUUCAAUUAAUGAAAAACUGCUCCUUUUCUGCCA